rnacentral:rRNA from 1 species
UACGAGUACCCCAAGCGUUAUCCGGAAUCAUUGGGCGUAAAGGGUGUGUAGGUGGUCUUGUUAGUCUUCUGUCAAAACCUCGGGCUCAACCCGAGACUUGCAGUGGAAACGGCAUGACUUGAGGAUGCGAGGGGUGAAUGGAACUCAUGGAGUAGGGGUGAAAUCCGUUGAUAUCAUGGGGAACACCAAAAGCGAAGGCAAUUCACUGGCGCAUUCCUGACACUGAGACACGAAAGCGUGGGUAGCGAACGGG